rnacentral:rRNA from 1 species
UACGUAGGGUGCGAGCGUUAAUCGGAAUUACUGGGCGUAAAGCGUGCGCAGGCGGUUCGUUAAGUCUGCUGUGAAAGCCCCGGGCUCAACCUGGGAAUGGCAGUGGAAACUGGCGAGCUGGAGUGUGGCAGAGGGGGGUGGAAUUCCGCGUGUAGCAGUGAAAUGCGUAGAGAUGCGGAGGAACACCGAUGGCGAAGGCAACCCCCUGGGCUGACACUGACGCUCAGGCACGAAAGCGUGGGGAGCAAACAGG